UUGACGUUCCUUCUCCUUUCCCGUGGUUACAGUCCACUUUAUGAUCUCCACUUCCAAAUUAAUGCCAACCCUUAACAACUUUUCUUCUACCCAUACCUCUUCAUAUUUUAAAUCCACAAACUAAUCCCAGCAAACACAUAUAUCUCUCCAGUGUAGGCACCAUCCCAAAGCCUUGAUACGUUGAGUAGAUUUUCCUUUGUAGAUUUCUAAGAUUUGCGAUCAACAUGUAUAGCGGAAAGAAAGUUUGUGGCGAGAACAACAGUAGUUCGAUUACACAAUUUGAUUUCACUCCAUCUACAAAUCAAAAUUGUAAAGCCUCAAUUUCCUGAUUCAUCAAUGACACAUCUUUAAUCAUCUUUAUUAAAGUAAUGAAGAAAAAUCAGACACUAACAAUACAUGUUCGGUGGGGAAAAAAAAGGAAAAGGAAAGAGGAUCCCCCGCAUAGAGAGCUGUUGAAGCUGCCAAAGCAACAUGAAACACCUAUGGUGGUAGUUGUUGUCUCUGUAUCCCUUGCAAGAAAGUGUUUCACUACAUGAAAGUGUCGAUGGAAAAAGAUGGGAAGAAACUACAUAGUAUGCCUUAGCACAUAACUUAGACACGGAACUUCAGAUUUCAUGGUACCAAACAAGAACGAAAUACAAGGGAGCCAUCAACUCAACAAUUUGUUAGCGCUAUGAGUAAAGGAUAUUUGACCUCUUAAUUAAUACUCACAUAAUAGCUUAAAUGGUUAAUCCCCACAGUUUCUAAGACGAGUAUUAUUAACCAUAAGACAAGAUGUAACAUAGAUAAGCAAAAUAAACAUAAAAAGACACUAGACUAUCAUUAUUGAGUAUUUGUGCUCCUUUCUUGAUAAUCUAAUUAUAUCGAUUUGAUGUUGCAUGCAAUAGUUGUG